rnacentral:rRNA from 1 species
GAGCUUAGCCGUAACUACGACACACAACUACAACCAUGUUCGCCCGGACACUACGAGCACUAGCUUAAAACCCAAAGGACCUGACGGUGUCUUAGAUCCCCCUAGAGGAGCCUGUUCUAGAACCGAUUAUCCCCGUUAAACCUCACCACUUCUAGUUAAACCAGCCUAUAUACCGCCGUCGCCAGCUUACCCUGUGAAGGUGAAAAAGUAAGCAAGAUGGGUAUAACCCAAAACGUCAGGUCGAGGUGUAGCAUAUGAGGUGGGAAGAAAUGGGCUACAUUUUCUAACUCAGAAUACUACGAACGCGCAAUAUGAAAUACAUGCCAGAAGGAGGAUUUAGUAGUAAAAAGGAAAUAGAGAGUCCUUUUGAACCCGGCUCUAAGACGCGUACACACCGCCCGUCACCAUCAAGGG